rnacentral:rRNA from 1 species
UAGGGAAUCUUCCACAAUGGACGAAAGUCUGAUGGAGCAACGCCGCGUGUGUGAUGAAGGGUUUCGGCUCGUAAAACACUGUUGUAAGAGAAGAAUGACAUUGAGAGUAACUGUUCAAUGUGUGACGGUAUCUUACCAGAAAGGAACGGCUAAAUACGUGCCAG